GGAACUUAAGAGAGCUUAACGGGAGGAUCACUCAUCUUGGAAACAACAAUCUAGAAUGUCCUGGUUCUGAAAGUGGAUCAGUUAGGUUUCUUUCAUGCUACAUGAAUGGGCUUUUAUGCAGAGACAACAGAUUUCCAGUACACAAGACAGGAUUCAUGCUGCUUCCUUUUUUCCACUGUCCCAGGAAAAGAGGUAUCUGGGAAAUUGCAACACGUAGAAAGAAGACAACAGCUCAAUACUCAUCUCCCCGAGGACAAGUUUACUUCAGUUUAAAAAAAAAAAAACAAAACACCACAGGGAGUGACUCCAGCAGUUCCUUAGAUCUGGGUUUUUCUCACACACCCAGAAUUUGCUUUGGUGAAGGCAGCCAGGCAAGUCAGGAAGGAGACCACUCAACACGUAAAGAAUGUCAUGCUGCUUUCUUCCUAUGGCUUCUUUCUAAUCUGGAGAUUCUCAAAGUGGGGAGAAAUGAAAGAAAAAAAAAAAGGAAGAGAAACUAAAAAAUGUGGUAUUAGAGUCUAAAAGGAACAGAGAGAGUUUCUAAAAGGAACUAGUGGCAAAGUGAAAAAAAUUCCCAGAUAGGGAAAAUAGGUUUAGAAAGAAUGCUGUUGUUAGUUUUAGCUAAAAGAAAGUUCCAGAAAACUCCUGAAAAAGCUUCAGUUUCUGUGCAGAAGCGAAGCUCACAGGGAGGAAGGAUGUAAAUUGACUGAGUAACAGAAUAAAGGAGAGAGUUGAGAUGAAUGAUCGAAGCA
rnacentral:lncRNA from 1 species